AACCCUGUAGAUCCGAGUUUGAUUAAUGCCAAUGUUGAGUUUUGAAGCAUUUCAAUCAAAAUCGAAUCUUCAAGGUGAA
rnacentral:pre_miRNA from 1 species